GAUGAAGAACGUAGCGAAAUGCGAUACGUAAUGUGAAUUGCAGAAUUCAGUGAAUCAUCGAAUCUUUGAACGCAUAUUGCGCUCUUUGGUAUUCCGAAGAGCAUGCUUGUUUGAGUAUCAGUAAACACCUCAACCUCUUUUUGAUUUUUCAAAAGGAGGGUGGACUUGAGCUAUCCCAACAACCUUUACCGGUCGGCGGGCGGCUUGAAAUGCAGGUGCAGCUGGACUUUUAUCUGAGCUAAAAGCAUAUAUAUUUAGUCCUCGUCAAACAGGAUUAUUACUUUUGCUGCAGCUAACAUAAAGGAUAAUUGUCCUCUUUGCUGACUGAUGCAGGAUUUUACGACACUUUAUGUGUUGUUCAACUCGAUCUCAAAUCAAGUAAGACUACCCGCUGAACUUAAGCAUAUCAAUAAGCGGAGGA
rnacentral:misc_RNA from 1 species